rnacentral:rRNA from 1 species
UACAAAUAGAAAAAUUCUUUUUUUAAGAAAUUUAAUAAAAAAAAUAUUUAAAAAUUAUUAAAAAUUAAGGUGAAAUUUAUUUUUAAAAAAAAAAUAAAAAUAUAAUUAAAAUUCUAAGAUUAAACUAGGAUUAGAUACCCUAUUAUUUAAGAGCUUAACAUUGUAAGUAAAUAAUAAUUAUGAAAGCAAAAAAUUAUGGCGGUAUUUUAAGCUUUUCAGAGGAAUUUGCUCUUUAAUGGAUAAAACACCAAAAUCUUACUUAGAUUUGUGAUUUCAAUUUGUAUACCACUAUUAAAACAAUUUAUAACUUUAAUUGUUUAAAUUUAUAAAACUAAAAUAUAUUAAGUCAAGGUGCAGUAAAAAUUUAAGGAUGAAGUGAAUUACAUUACUUUUUAGUGAGAUAAAUUUAUAACAAUAUUUAGGAUUUGAAAGUAAAAUUAAAAUAGGAUGUUAAUUUGAAUUAAGCUCUAAAAUAU